rnacentral:rRNA from 1 species
AUUGAACGCUGGCGGCAGGCCUAACACAUGCAAGUCGAGCGGAGGAAGGGAGCUUGCUCCUGGAUUCAGCGGCGGACGGGUGAGUAAUGCCUAGGAAUCUGCCUGGUAGUGGGGGAUAACGUCCGGAAACGGGCGCUAAUAUCGCAUACGUCCUGAGGGAGAAAGUGGGGGAUCUUCGGACCUCACGCUAUCAGAUGAGCCUAGGUCGGAUUAGCUAGUUGGUGGGGUAAAGGCCUACCAAGGCGACGAUCCGUAACUGGUCUGAGAGGAUGAUCAGUCACACUGGAACUGGGACACGGUCCAGACUCCUACGGGAGGCAGCAGUGGGGAAUAUUGGACAAUGGGCGAAAGCCUGAUCCAGCCAUGCCGCGUGUGUGAAGAAGGUCUUCGGAUUGUAAAGCACUUUAAGUUGGGAGGAAGGGCAGUAAGUUAAUACCUUGCUGUUUUGACGUUACCAACAGAAUAAGCACCGGCUAACUUCGUG